GGGAUUGUGGCUCAGUGGUAGAGUACUUGCCUAGCAUGCAUGAGGCACUGUGUUUCAUUCUCAGCACCA
rfam:Ictidomys tridecemlineatus contig045664, whole genome shotgun sequence.